UACAGAGGGGGCAAGCGUUGUUCGGAAUUACUGGGCGUAAAGGGCGCGUAGGCGGCCUGUUAAGUCGGACGUGAAAUCCCCGGGCUCAACCCGGGAACUGCGUCCGAUACUGGCAGGCUUGAAUCCGGGAGAGGGAUGUGGAAUUCCAGGUGUAGCGGUGAAAUGCGUAGAGAUCGGGAGGAACACCGGUGGCGAAGGCGGGUCUCUGGGCAAUUCCUGACGCUGAGGCGCGAAAGCGUGGGGAGCAAACGGG
rnacentral:rRNA from 1 species